CCUACGGGCGGCAGCAGUGGGGGAUAUUGCACAAUGGGGGAAACCCUGAUGCAGCGACGCCGCGUGUGGGAAGACGGUCCUCUGGAUUGUAAACCACUGUCCCCAGGGACGAAGAUGACGGUACCUGGGGAGGAAGCUCCGGCAAACUACGUGCCAGCAGCCGCGGUAAUACGUAGGGAGCGAGGGUUGUCCGGAAUUACGGGGGGAAAAGGGAGCGUAGGGGGGGUUGCAAGCUGGGUGUCAAGACUACCGGUUCAACUGGUAGUCGCACUCAAAACUGCAGCUCUUGAGUGAAGUAGAGGCAGGCGGAAUGCCUAGUGUAGCGGUGAAAUGCGUAGAUAUUAGGAGGAACACCAGUGGCGAAGGCGGCCUGCUGGGCAUUUACUGACGCUGAGGCUCGAAAGUGUGGGGAGCAAACAGGAUUAGAUACCCCAGUAGUC
rnacentral:rRNA from 1 species